UUACCCGCUGAAUUUAAGCAUAUAACUAAGCGGAGGAAAAGAAACUAACCAGGAUUCCCCCAGUAGCGGCGAGCGAAGCGGGAAGAGCUCAAUGUGGAAAUCCGGGGCGGGCGCCGCCCCCGAGAUGUAAUCUAUAGAGGCGCUUUCUGGGCCGGCGCGGGUACAAGUCCCCUUGAACGGGGCGUCAUAGAGGGUGCGAACCCCGUACAUGACCCGCGGCGCGGCGCUGUACGAGGCGGUCUCGGCGAGUCGGGUUGCUUGAGAAUGCAGCCCCAAGUGGGUGGUAGACUCCAUCUAAAGCUAAAUACUGGCGGGAGACCGAUAGCGAACAAGUACUGUGAAGGAAAGAUGAAAAGCACUUUGAAAAGAGAGUGAAAGAGGACCUGAAACCGUUGAGGGGGAAGCGAAGGGCGCGAGUGGUGUGCGCGGCCGAUUAGCGCCCCCCGGGGCGCGCACUGGGCCGGGCGGCCGGCGCGGGGAGCAUUUAGUUUGCAGAGAGGCCUGGGCGGCGGCGAGCACACGCCGCCGCGCGGGCGCCCGCGCCGAAAUGGCGCUCUCCGACCCGUCUUGAAACACGGACCAAGGA
rnacentral:rRNA from 1 species